rnacentral:rRNA from 1 species
UUUUUACUGGAGGAAGGUGGGGAUGACGUCAAAUCAUCAUGCCCCUUAUGACCUGGGCUACACACGUGCUACAAUGGAUGGUACAACGAGUCGCGAGACAGUGAUGUUUAGCUAAUCUCUUAAAACCAUUCUCAGUUCGGAUUGUAGGCUGCAACUCGCCUACAUGAAGUCGGAAUCGCUAGUAAUCGCGGAUCAGCACGCCGCGGUGAAUACGUUCCCGGGCCUUGUACACACCGCCCGUCACACCACGGGAGUUGGGAGUACCCGAAGUAGGUUGCCUAACCGCAAGGAGGGCGCUUCCUAAGGUAAGACCGAUGACUGGGGUGAAGUCGUAACAUUGUUGCUCGCG